AUUUGAAAUGAAAUAUUUAAAUUAAUAAGUAAUAUAUUAUAACCUUGAAUUUUCAAAGGAUGCACAACCUUCCCACAGAAAGGAUCGCACGUCGACUGUUCCAUUUCCGAUUGGAAACGCAAGAAUGUGUUUUACACGGACGUUACUUUGCGGUAACGACACCGGUUUCUAUAACUUAUGGUCAGCCUUGACUUUCUAAGCAAUCUAAAAAGCGGUAACGAUGCAGCAUCCGUGAGCUAACGGUCCUGUGUCUGUAAAGAGUUUAACUGGUGGGACGCAAUAAUUCAGGUCCGUCUAUGGUCAGUGUGGAGCCAGCUGAAAGGGCUAAGAUAUUUAUGGGUUGCAGCUGAUCUUGGUCCAUGUAGAGCUUUUUCAUAGUGAGAAUAAAACUAGCCUCGAUGUCAUCCAUGA